AUCUCACUUUAGUGCAGGUACAUCCACGUGGGGAUCUAGUAGACCCCCACCAUUAGCAAAUCUUUUCUAGUUUCGUCUAGCUUCGUGACGAGUUGUUUACAUUCAGCGUCUCAGUUUUCCUUAAUAUCUUCGACCUUUUUCAUAGAUUUACGCAGUACUGUAGGCUUACUCCAAAUAUUAGACCCCCACGUGGACAU